rnacentral:rRNA from 1 species
AGCAGCAGCCGCGGGAAUACGUAGGAGGCAAGCGUUGUCCGGAAUUAUUGGGCGUAAAGGGCUCGCAGGCGGUUUCUUAAGUCUGAUGUGAAAGCCCCCGGCUCAACCGGGGAGGGUCAUUGGAAACUGGGAAACUUGAGUGCAGAAGAGGAGAGUGGAAUUCCACGUGUAGCGGUGAAAUGCGUAGAGAUGUGGAGGAACACCAGUGGCGAAGGCGACUCUCUGGUCUGUAACUGACGCUGAGGAGCGAAAGCGUGGGGAGCGAACAGGAUUAGAUACCCCAGUAGUCCCUGUCUCUUAUAC